rnacentral:rRNA from 1 species
CCCUAUGGGGUGCUCAUUUCCUCUCCUACAGGCUCUACUGGAUAUUCGCUCUCUUCAGGCGGACCGAUAGUAUCCCCUAUCAGCAAGGUUUUUAUUAUCACCCCGAUUUCUCCGCAUUCUCUGAGUUUCAGACCCGUAAUCGUUCCCGAUGACGGGACAAUUUUAAUCAGAACAGUCAGCAGAGAAAAUGUCAGGAUUACUUCGGAUGGUUAUAACAGCGUCGUUUGUAAGCCCCCGGUCGAAAUUUGCAUCCGGAAAACCGAUUACUCGCUUAAACAAAUUAAAAGAUUGAACUGGUCCUACUUUAGCACAUUGAAUAAAAAACUCCUGUGGGGCGAAGAUGUGAGGAAAACAAGAAGGUGAUUAAUACGGGAUUCCGUCCGCCGCGGGAGGGC